AUUGAACGCUGGCGGCAUGCUUUACACAUGCAAGUCGAACGGCAGCACGAAAGAGCUUGCUCUUUUGGUGGCGAGUGGCGAACGGGUGAGUAAUGCAUCGGAACGUACCGAGUAAUGGGGGAUAACUAUCCGAAAGGAUAGCUAAUACCGCAUACGCUUUGAGAAGGAAAGUGGGGGCUCUUCGGACCUCACGUUAUUCGAGCGGCCGAUGUCUGAUUAGCUAGUUGGUGGGGUAAAGGCCUACCAAGGCGACGAUCAGUAGCGGGUCUGAGAGGAUGAUCCGCCACACUGGGACUGAGACACGGCCCAGACUCCUACGGGAGGCAGCAGUGGGGAAUUUUGGACAAUGGGCGCAAGCCUGAUCCAGCCAUGCCGCGUGUCUGAAGAAGGCCUUCGGGUUGUAAAGGACUUUUGUUAGGGAAGAAAAGGAUAGUGUUAAUACCAUUNUCUGCNGA
rnacentral:rRNA from 1 species